UGAGGAAUAUUGGUCAAUGGGCGCAAGCCUGAACCAGCCAUCCCGCGUGGAGGAAGACGGCCCUAUGGGUUGUAAACUCCUUUUAUUUAGGAAGAAACCCCAUUACGUGUAAUGGGCUGACGGUACUAAACGAAUAAGCACCGGCUAACUCCGUGCCAGCAGCCGCGGUAAUACGGAGGGUGCAAGCGUUAUCCGGAAUCAUUGGGUUUAAAGGGUCCGCAGGCGGUUUAAUAAGUCAGUGGUGAAAUCCUGCAGCUUAACUGUAGAACUGCCAUUGAUACUGUUAAACUUGAAUUCGGUCGAAGUUGGCGGAAUGAGUAGUGUAGCGGUGAAAUGCAUAGAUAUUACUCAGAACACCGAUAGCGAAGGCAGCUAACUAGGCCUGAAUUGACGCUGAGGGACGAAAGCGUGGGUAGCGAACAGG
rnacentral:rRNA from 1 species